rnacentral:rRNA from 1 species
GACGAACGCUGGCGGCGUGCUUAACACAUGCAAGUCGAACGGAAAGGCCCUGCUUGCAGGGUGCUCGAGUGGCGAACGGGUGAGUAACACGUGGGUGAUCUGCCCCUUACUUUGGGAUAAGCCUGGGAAACUGGGUCUAAUACUGGAUAGGACCAUGCUGUAGGUGGUGUGGUGGAAAGAUUAGUUUCGGUAAGGGAUGAGCUCGCGGCCUAUCAGCUUGUUGGUGGGGUAAUGGCCUACCAAGGCGUCGACGGGUAGCCGGCCUGAGAGGGUGGACGGCCACAUUGGGACUGAGAUACGGCCCAGACUCCUACGGGAGGCAGCAGUGGGGAAUAUUGCACAAUGGGCGCAAGCCUGAUGCAGCGACGCCGCGUGGGGGAUGACGGCCUUCGGGUUGUAAACUCCUUUCAGCCAUGACGAAGCCCUUGUGGUGACGGUAGUGGUAGAAGAAACACCGGCGAACUACGU